rnacentral:rRNA from 1 species
GACGGUUGUCCCGGUUUAAGCGUGUAGGCUGGUUUUCCAGGCAAAUCCGGAAAACCAAGGCUGAGGCGUGAUGACGAGGCACUACGGUGCUGAAGCGACAAAUGCCCUGCUUCCAGGAAAAGCCUCUAAGCAUCAGGUAACAUCAAAUCGUACCCCAAACCGACACAGGUGGUCAGGUAGAGAAUACCAAGGCGCUUGAGAGAACUCGGGUGAAGGAACUAGGCAAAAUGGUGCCGUAACUUCGGGAGAAGGCACGCUGAUAUGUAGGUGAAGCGACUUGCUCGUGGAGCUGAAAUCAGUCGAAGAUACCAGCUGGCUGCAACUGUUUAUUAAAAACACAGCACUGUGCAAACACGAAAGUGGACGUAUACGGUGUGACGCCUGCCCGGUGCCGGAAGGUUAAUUGAUGGGGUUAGCGGUAACGCGAAGCUCUUGAUCGAAGCCCCGGUAAACGGCGGCCGUAACUAUAACGGUCCUAAGGUAGCGAAAUUCCUUGUCGGGUAAGUUCCGACCUGCACGAAUGGCGUAAUGAUGGCCAGGCUGUCUCCACCCGAGACUCAGUGAAAUUGAACUCGCUGUGAAGAUGCAGUGUACCCGCGGCAAGACGGAAAGACCCCGUGAACCUUUACUAUAGCUUGACACUGAACAUUGAGCCUUGAUGUGUAGGAUAGGUGGGAGGCUUUGAAGUGUGGACGCCAGUCUGCAUGGAGCCGACCUUGAAAUACCACCCUUUAAUGUUUGAUGUUCUAACGUUGGCCCGUAAUCCGGGUUGCGGACAGUGUCUGGUGGGUAGUUUGACUGGGGCGGUCUCCUCCUAAAGAGUAACGGAGGAGCACGAAGGUUGGCUAAUCCUGGUCGGACAUCAGGAGGUUAGUGCAAUGGCAUAAGCCAGCUUGACUGCGAGCGUGACGGCGCGAGCAGGUGCGAAAGCAGGUCAUAGUGAUCCGGUGGUUCUGAAUGGAAGGGCCAUCGCUCAACGGAUAAAAGGUACUCCGGGGAUAACAGGCUGAUACCGCCCAAGAGUUCAUAUCGACGGCGGUGUUUGGCACCUCGAUGUCGGCUCAUCACAUCCUGGGGCUGAAGUAGGUCCCAAGGGUAUGGCUGUUCGCCAUUUAAAGUGGUACGCGAGCUGGGUUUAGAACGUCGUGAGACAGUUCGGUCCCUAUCUGCCGUGGGCGCUGGAGAACUGAGGGGGGCUGCUCCUAGUACGAGAGGACCGGAGUGGACGCAUCACUGGUGUUCGGGUUGUCAUGCCAAUGGCACUGCCCGGUAGCUAAAUGCGGAAGAGAUAAGUGCUGAAAGCAUCUAAGCACGAAACUUGC